rnacentral:rRNA from 1 species
UACGUAGGGUGCGAGCGCUGUCCGGAAUUAUUGGGCGUAAAGAGCUUGUAGGCGGUCUGUCGCGUCUGCUGUGAAAAUCCGGGGCUCAACCCCGGACUUGCAGUGGGUACGGGCAGACUAGAGUGUGGUAGGGGAGACUGGAAUUCCUGGUGUAGCGGUGAAAUGCGCAGAUAUCAGGAGGAACACCGAUGGCGAAGGCAGGUCUCUGGGCCACUACUGACGCUGAGAAGCGAAAGCAUGGGGAGCGAACAGG